AUUGGCAAUACUGUAGGGUCGUCCCUUUCAAAUCAAUCUAAGAAAAUGGGACGACACUACAGUAUUGCCACUUUUUAAUUUCUACUGUUUUUCUUAAACUACUAUAAUUUUGACCACGAAUUUACCUUAUUAUGUAUAAUACAAUUAUAUAAGUACAAAUAAGAAUAUUUAAAGAGCGUUAUUUACAAACACCUCUCAUUAUAUCAUAAUGUCAUUGUGACUAGUCAUCAGUUUUGAUUCCCGCAAGGUACUUGUGUUUUCUAUUUUUUUUAUAUUUUGUUGCACAUCAGGUGAUGUUAACUUUUUAUUUGUAUUUAAGAAAUACAUAUUUGUUGGGUACAUGUAAGUAGCUAUAACAUAGUAAUAAUUAAAUGUGUUAUGUGUUAAGUGAUGAUAAUUAUAGAGCUGUUUGUUGUGUAUAGAUGUCACCAUUCAAUGUUUAAACCCAAUGUGAGUAGGCUGUAGUUGCGUUUUGAUCUCGAAUAAUCUGUUUCAAAACAGUGAAUACUGUCACUCAGAAAAUGAUUUUAAUAAUUUAGAUUCUGUAUAACAACUCCGAGGCAAAAUAUGAUAAUGCAGCCAUCUGGUGUUCAGAAUCUUGAAAAUCUUUGUAAUUUUGGAUCAUGAUUUUAUAAAACUAUAUGCAAAAAGGCAUUAGCGAGAGUUACACCUAUUACUAUAGGUUUAGGUACAGUCAAAAUAUGCAGCAAAUUGGAGAAGGCAGCAUUUACCUAUCAGAAGUUAAAAAAAAAUGUAUAUCAGUUAUUUUUAACACAAAAUGAAUCAUGUAACAAGGGGUUUUAAAUAAGUCAACAAAUACAUAUUAAUCAUAUUAUUCAAUGAGUUAUAUUUGCAGACACAUUUAUCAAGAGGCAUGGCCUGGUUAUUUUAUUUCUAAAUAUAAUUUUAGCGAUAAGAAUUUUAAUUAUAGUACAUCUAAAAUAAGGAAAAUCGAUGUCUCUAAAAUUAUAAUCUUAAGUUAUUUAAUGGAUAUUCUAGCUGCAAACCUCGGAAUAAAUCUGCAAACUGUUAACUAUUCCUACAAACUGUAUUGUGCAGUUUACGACUAUUUAAAUUUUCACUACAGAUACUAAUAUAAAUUAAAGAGCAUUUAAUUAAAUAUUUAAUCAGGGCAUAGUCCACAUACAACCUAUAAAAAAAAGUAUAAGUAUCCAGAUGAAAUUAAAUCUAAGUACAAAUAUAAACAUUUAACUGUAUGGACAAUGACUACUACUAAUCUUCCUAUCACUAUGUGAAUACAGUGUACUUGUGUAGUGCUACCAUAUGAUAUUUUUCGGAGGAUAUAUGAAAAUAAAAAUAAAACAAAAUCACUAUUAGUUAUAUUUAAUUUAAUAUUAAUACUUGUGAACAGCAUUUAUGCAAAAGUGAAAGAGUAUAAGAAUAUAUGUAGUAACAUUAAAUGCAAUGUUAUUUAAACCAAAAUAUUGUUGAACAAACUAAAAUUAUUCUCAAUAAAGCGAAAUCAUUA